AUCACUUCUGGGCCCUUGGGCUAAGGUCAAGUGUAAGAUCUGUUCUUAUCAGUUUAAUAACCCCCAUGAGGAAGUGGACACAUGUAGACCCACACUUCAUUCCAAGGAAUCCUUUUUACCAAGACAGAAUCAGAUCUCAGAGUUUCUAGAUCUUUUUUCCCCCUCCAAAAGAUAUUGGGUAUUUAGA
rnacentral:snRNA from 1 species